rnacentral:rRNA from 1 species
UACGAAGGGGGGCUAGCGUUGCUCGGAAUCACUGGGCGUAAAGCGCACGUAGGCGGAUUGCUAAGUCAGGGGUGAAAUCCUGGAGCUCAACUCCAGAACUGCCUUUGAUACUGGCGAUCUUGAGUCCGGGAGAGGUGAGUGGAACUGCGAGUGUAGAGGUGAAAUUCGUAGAUAUUCGCAAAGAACACCAGUGGCGAAGGCGGCUCACUGGCCCGGUACUGACGCUGAGGUGCGAAAGCGUGGGGAGCAAACAGG